CUCAAAGAUUAAGCCAUGCAAGUGGUUAUAUUAACCCGACAGUUUAAAUAAGUGUUCAUUAACAUGUCUGCUUAUAUAAUAUUGCACCACACACAUACGCAACCGGUAUAACUAUUAGUCCAUGCGAUGCUGCCACAUCAAUUGGGCUUUUGGUUAUGCGGACCUACACAAUAUCAUUAUUCGCAGAUUUGACAUUUAUGUAUUCUAUAUACACACACCCAAGACGUAUCACUUACGCAACUGCAGACAGCUGCUUAAUACAGUCACACUUGUCUUGACUUGGCACUCACCACGUCACAAAUCAUUCAUUAUACAACAGGCACUACACACAUACACAAACUGUAUUUUGAGUGAUGGCUUGUGACACCACAGUAAUGUCUCACACACAUUUCUGUGAUUUCUCUGUUUUCGCAUAAUCUUACAAGAACCUAUUGCGAUCACAUCGUGACAUUUUCUUAUAUCUUUAUGGAUAACUCAGGGAAAGUUUGGCUAAUACGUACGAGUACAUAUCUAGACAAUACAUCACACACAUACAUACACACCACCCACACCACCACACUACUCAGCACUCAAUGGUAAACUUUGAUAAUUAUUGCAUUCGUGCAUUAUUAUCAGUUCCAAAGUUUAAUCGCAACAUGAGAGACAUUGAGUACGCACUGCAUCGAGUAUUUACUUACUUAUGCAAUCACGCUGAGCAGACUUCGCGAAGUUCACUUUGCGAAGCAUGUCAUACAAGCAUCUACAGCAUCAAGUCACAGGGUUGGCAAGUGUAUUUUUGAACCUUCAAAGCAGUCACGCAUACGGAAGAGUAGUUUCUGAUCCCAUAGAAGGAGCAUCGUACAAUGAGAGACCGCUCUUAGUUCUAAGGAACGCAGCAGGCGCGUAAAUUGCCCAAUGCUAGUACCCUAACAUUAAUCAAAGCAAUAUUACCAACCAUGCUACACACACCCGUGUAUAUAUAUAUUACAUUUUUUGUAUUAUGACACAUAUUGACUACUGUCAACACACACACAUACAUCCUUGUUCGCAUGUCAUCUUUAUGGUAAUACAUUUUGUAUAUACUUUGUUAUAUAUUUGAUUAUUAUUUUUACUGAGGCAGUGACAAGCUGUAACGGUUGAGUAUAAAAAUGACGAGUGUCUGGCAUUGCCGCUUCUUUCGGGGAGCUUGGCAAGUUGCCGACGCUUUGUGUGCUCAAUUGGAAUGCGGUGAGUUUAAGCAACUCAGAACCUUUAAUAUCGGUGUGAACCUGUUGAUCACCAUAUUAUGUAUCUGAAUUUCAAGUGGAGGGCAAGUCUGGUGC
rnacentral:rRNA from 1 species